GACGAACGCUGGCGGCGUGCUUAACACAUGCAAGUUGAACGGAAAGGCCCUGCUUGCAGGGUGCUCGAGUGGCGAACGGGUGAGUAACACGUGGGUGAUCUGCCCCUUACUUUGGGAUAAGCCUGGGAAACUGGGUCUAAUACUGGAUAGGACCAUGCUGUAGGUGGUGUGGUGGAAAGAUUUUUUCGGUAAGGGAUGAGCUCGCGGCCUAUCAGCUUGUUGGUGGGGUAAUGGCCUACCAAGGCGUCGACGGGUAGCCGGCCUGAGAGGGUGGACGGCCACAUUGGGACUGAGAUACGGCCCAGACUCCUACGGGAGGCAGCAGUGGGGAAUAUUGCACAAUGGGCGCAAGCCUGAUGCAGCGACGCCGCGUGGGGGAUGACGGCCUUCGGGUUGUAAACUCCUUUCAGCCAUGACGAAGCCUCUUUUGGGGUGACGGUAGUGGUAGAAGAAGCACCGGCUAACUACGUG
rnacentral:rRNA from 1 species